GACGAAGGGGGCUAGCGUUGUUCGGAAUUACUGGGCGUAAAGCGAGUGUAGGCGGUUGUCAUAGUCAGGUGUGAAAGCCUUGAGCUUAACUCAAGAAAUGCACUUGAUACUGGGCGACUAGAGGACCGGAGAGGAUAGUGGAAUUCCCAGUGUAGUGGUGAAAUACGUAGAGAUUGGGAAGAACACCAGUGGCGAAGGCGGCUAUCUGGACGGUUACUGACGCUAAGACUCGAAAGCGUGGGGAGCAAACAGG
rnacentral:rRNA from 1 species